rnacentral:rRNA from 1 species
UAGCGGAGGGGGCAAGCGUUGUUCGGGAAUUACUGGGCGUAAAGAGCGUGUAGGCGGUUCGGUAAGUCUGUCGUGAAAUCCUGGGGCCUCAACCCCGGGCGUGCGGUCGAUACGGGCAUCACUGGGAGUUCGGCAGGGGGAGACUGGAAUUCCUGGUGUAGCGGUGAAAUGCGCAGAUAUCAGGAGGAACACCGGUGGCGAAAGCGCGAGACUGGGCCGUAACUGACGCUGAGGAACGAAAGCCAGGGGAGCAAAAAGGG